rnacentral:lncRNA from 1 species
NUUUCUUUUGCCUUCCCCGAGCCCCUCGCCUUUGAACCCCCGCCAGUUCCUGGGGUGUUAAGUGCCUGUCAGCUCAUUCCUUUUUCUCUCGAAGGUUUGCUCCCUUACGAGCUCCUACGAGGCGGUUUCCCGCUCGGCGCGGAGCGCCCUAGGGCUCCUCUCUGCCCCCCCCGAGCCGCCGGUUACCUAGAGACACUCGCUGCGCUUUUAACCACGCAGCACCCCUCCGGGCUGCCGCCGCCCGAGCCAGGAGCGCAGGGCCGUAAGGGCUGUAAAUUAGGAGGAAAUAACUACCCUUGUCAAAGCUCUUUUCUUCCUCCGUGCACUUUACAUUCAGCCCCGAGUGACACCCCUCCCCACCCUGUAAUACGAGGAGGAAACCGUGAAACACUCCAUUGUGAUUGUGACUUCUUCAGGCGAGUUUCGAAACCUUCAUUUACCCGGGAGGGACUGCGGAGGGGGAAGCUCCAUUCAAUUAAAAAGUUUCGUGCUGGAUUUCCACCGCCGGUUAGCUGGCGAUUUUUUUUUGGGGGGGGGAGUGGGAGGGAUCGCCCCGAGCCGCACGGUCACUCCAGCAAAUAUCCACGAGAUCGCGUGAGAUUCACCUCCGAAGAAACCGUCUGGUCUGGUUUAGUCCAUUGUUUUUACCGGGGCUUGACUCCAGCAUACAACGGUCUCCACGGAGGAGAGAAAAAUAGGGCGAAGAAUGUAAUCGAGCGAAGCGGCUUGGAUAAAAGUUAGCGAUUCAUUCCCAAACUUUUUUUCCUGGAGAAAAAAAAAUCCUAUCCCAACACACUAAUCCCCCUACAUAAAACAGUGUUUUACGCCCUUUCCCUGGGACAUAUCCUCUCACAGAUCUCAUCGUAUCCAAAAAUUGCAAGUUAAGUAACAGCGUUCUUAACUAGCAGCUCUAAGGUGAGCGGCAUCUCCGCCCGGGACAGGCUAUCGCGAUAAUGCUGUCCCGAUAACUGUCCCUCUACAUAAUAUCACAACCCAACGCCCGCGCUU